UUGAAAUUGGUUAAAGUACUGAAUUGGUAGAAAAACUAAUACAACUAGUAAGGAUAUAUUUACCAACUUUCUUUAGAAAGGCAUUCCUCAAUCCAAAAUUACUUUUCUUUAAUUCACAUAUAUACUACUAUUCUUAUGAUUUCACUUUCAUAUUUACAUUCUCAUCCAUCUGUAGUUUAAAUCAUAAGGAAGAAACCCAACCAAUUAUUUUUCUCCAAGUGACUAGCCAUUACAAAAUUGCUUUAAUUUGUUAUUUUAAUAUCUGAUAGGGUAGCCCCUCCAAGGUUAACAUUCUUAAAGGGGGUAGCUGAAAUAAUUCAAAGUUGGAGUAAAACAAAACAUGGAAUUUUUUCCCAUGAACCAUUCAUUGAAUGAUUUUUUAAAAAUCUCCAGUCUGCCUAUUUACAUGUUAAUUAUACAAUUUACAUAAUUAUACUAUUACUUACUGCAGUAUCACUAUUUAAACCAUUGUAAAUUCAUAUUUGCAGAUAACAGCUAAAGUAUGCUUGCUUAUAGUUUCCAUUCCAGGAACUACUGGACAAAAGUUUCUUCCUUGUCUCUAAAAUUUAAUUUCCCUAAUUCAGUUUUAAGAUUUAGAUCACAUUGAGAGUAUGGUUGCACCGGAAAAGAAGAGAUUCUCUUCCCUCACUGGGUUUCGCCAUUGCCCGGGGCCCCAAGAAGCACUUGAAGCCUGUUGCAGCUCAGAAGCAUUUGGAUGCUUGACAAACUAACGGGUGUAUCUGCACCUUGUCCAUUGACAGGUCCCCACAAGCUGAGGGAAUGUCUUCCCCUGAUUAUCUUCCUCAGGAAUAGACUCAAGUACACAUUGACUGGAGAUGAGAUAUGUAUGCAACGCUUCAUCAAAAUUGAUGGUAGGGUUCGAGCGGACAGCACAUACCCUGCUGGAUUCAUGGAUGUCAUCAGCAUCAAGAACACAGGUAAACAUUUCUGCCUGGUCUAUGGCACCAAGGGCCGUUUUGCCGUUCACCACAUCACAGUGGAAGAGGCAAAGUAAAAGUUGUGCAAAGUGAGGAAGAUCACUGUGGGGAUGAAGGGAAUCCCACACCUGGUGACUCAUGAUGCUACCCAAAUCUGCUUAUCAAGAUGAAUGAAACUGUGCAGACUGAUUUAGGGACUGGCAAGAUAAUCAACUUGAUCAAAUUCGACAUAGGCAAUGUGUGUAUGGUGAUUGGUGGAGCCAGCCUCAGUCGUCUUGGUGUGACCAACAGGGAAAGACAUCCUGGUUCUUUUGAUGUGGUGCAUGUGAAGGAUGACAAUGGCAACAGCUUUGCCACAAGGGUUUCUGACAGUUUUGUCACUGGCAAUGGCAAUAAGCCUUGGAUUUCUCUCCUUAGGUGAAAGGGCAUACGACUUAAAACUAUUGCGGAAGAGAAAGACAAGAGACUGGCCACCAAACAGAGCAGUAGCUAAAUUAUAGUAGCAGCAUAUCUUUUUUCUUUGCACAAAUAAACAGUGAAUUCUCGUU